GGGAAUAUAGCUCAGCAGCACAGCGCCUGCCUGGCAAGCUCAAGGUUCUGAGUUUGAUUCCCGGUACUCCCC
rnacentral:tRNA from 1 species